rnacentral:lncRNA from 1 species
CACGGGUAAACGCAAAUAUCGGAGAACAAUCGUGUGAUGUGACAUUCUUUUGCAUUUCUCAGUCAAUAUAAACAGUGAGUUAAGAAAUUCGUAGUGGCAAUCUGUUAACACUCAAGAGAACUAGAAAACCCACAAUGCAGGCUGGCUGGCUCGGUUUAUUUAAAUCUCAGUGGAAGAAAUGAAGAAAAUGUAUAUAUACACGAACAAUAAUACCAGAGGUAAUUUUAGCCUGUGUGGUUUUUCGUUUUAAAAUCCCCUCAGGUUCAUUAUCAAUACAGGAGUUAAAUUGAACACUGUACUACUCAGUUCAACUUUAGAAAAUGCAUUAAGUUAGCGCAAAUCAGUCAUUCAGGUUGCUGUGUGGCAAUGCCAGCAGGUAAAUACAUUGAAAUGCUUUGCGUCGUGGUAGCUAGCUGGUUUUUACGAAUAAAGGAUAUUAAUAUGACUGUACAGUUAAUAUAGUUAGGAAAUUUUUACUAAAGAUUAACUUUGUCAUACCCAGAUAGAUGGAUGUGUUUUAUACAAGCAUGCCCAUGCCGUCCAGCUGAAUUGGCAGCCUGGAGUUCAGGUUAUUGUUUUUGUGUUUGUUUUCAGGCGUUGUAUGCUUUAUCGGACAGGAAAGUGGUGAACGAUUGAGUAAAGAGCUUGAAAGAGCAGUGGGUCGCAUUGGGACGCAGCAGUACAGCACCGGGGACAGUGGCCCAGAACGUUGGACACCAGGUGGAAGUUACAAACCGAGGCAGAUGUCAAUAGCCUUCCGCCUGACAGAACCCAUCGCCUGACAACGUUUUUGUUUGGCGUCACCGACAAACACUUCCCGGGUGAUUCAGAGGCCAAGUUCAGACAGCAAGCACUAACAGGCACGAAGCCCGAAGACAGGCGGAUGUUUGAAGACGCCCUGGGGGAUUCUCCCGGGACCAGUUCCGUAAACACCGGUCCAAACCCA